ACUCAAAUGAAUAGACGGGGACUUGCACAAGCAGAGGAUUAUGUGGUUUAAUUCGAUGGCAAACGAAAAACCUUACCAAGAUUUGAAAUUUAGCUGAAGGCCGGGAGAAACUCCGGAGGUCCGCAAGGACAGCUAGACAGGUGAUGCAUGGCCGUCGUCAGUUCGUGAUUUGAGUUGUUCCCUUCAGUGGGGUAACGAACGCAACCCUCGUUGCCUGUUAUACGUGUCAGGCGAGACUGCCCCUUAUCAGGGGAGGAAGGUGAGGAUGACGCCAGGUCAGCAUGUCCCUCUGAUAUCUUGGGCUACACACAUAAUACAAUGGCCGGUACAACGGGUCGCAAUGGAGUAAUCCGGAGCCAAUCCUUAUAAAGCCGGCCCCAGUUCAGAUUGGGGGCUGAAACUCGACCCCAUGAAGUUGGAUUUGCUAGUAAUCGCGGGUCAGCUAUACCGCGGUGAAUACGUUCUCAAGUCUUGUACACACCGCCCGU
rnacentral:rRNA from 1 species